UCACCAUAACCAAGCCAAGCUUCGAUUCGACCAUCUGCUCCUCUGCUUCAAGACUGACGGCUUCAAGGCUCACAGCACCAGUUGCUACUUCAAAACUCAGGGGUCUCACAACAUCUGCUAUUGAAUUUUGUCCAGAAUCCAGCACCAAUUCCUGCUUCAAAACUCACGGGUCUCGCGGGUCUCACCGCAUCUACUGUUGAUUUUUAUCCAGAAUCUAGCACCAGUUUCUGCUUCAAAACUCACGGGUCUCACCGCAUCUGCUAUUGAAUUUUAUCCAGGUUUGUCAAUUUCUUCUCUUAAUAACAUGUUAAUGAUAAUUAUGAGUGUUGUUGUUGCUUGUGAUCCAUGGGAUUUUUCAAUCGGUUUUUGAAUGAUUCAUCAGGUUGAAAGAUUUCAAUGCUUUUAAACUAAA